rnacentral:rRNA from 1 species
UACAGAGGGUGCAAGCGUUAUCCGGAAUUAUUGGGCGUAAAGAGCUCGUAGGCGGUUUGUCGCGUCUGCCGUGAAAGUCCGGGGCUCAACUCCGGAUCUGCGGUGGGUACGGGCAGACUAGAGUGAUGUAGGGGAGACUGGAAUUCCUGGUGUAGCGGUGAAAUGCGCAGAUAUCAGGAGGAACACCGGUGGCGAAGGCGGUCUCUGGGCAGUAACUGACGCUGAGGAGCGAAAGCAUGGGGAGCGAACAGG